rnacentral:rRNA from 1 species
AUGGCUCAGGAUGAACGCUGGCGGCGUGCCUAACACAUGCAAGUCGAACGAAGCAUACGGACUGGAGAUUCGUCGAAGGACUGUAUGACUUAGUGGCGGACGGGUGAGUAAUGUAUGAGCAACCUGCCUUUCAGAGGGGGACAACAGUUGGAAACGACUGCUAAUACCGCGUAACGUAUCGUGGGGGCAUCCUCGUGAUACCAAAGGAGCAAUCCGCUGAAAGAUGGGCUCAUAUCUGAUUAGCUUGUUGGCGGGGUAACGGCCCACCAAGGCGACGAUCAGUAGCCGGACUGAGAGGUUGAACGGCCACAUUGGGACUGAGAUACGGCCCAGACUCCUACGGGAGGCAGCAGUGGGGAAUAUUGGGCAAUGGGCGAAAGCCUCGACCCAGCAACGCCGCGUGAAGGAAGAAGGUCUUCGGAUUGUAAACUUCUUUUAUGAGGGACGAAGGACGUGACGGUACCUCAUGAAUAAGCCACGGCUAACUACGUGCCAGCCGCAGC